GAUGAACGCUGGCGGCGUGCCUAAUACAUGCAAGUCGAGCGAACAGACGAGGAGCUUGCUCCUCUGACGUUAGCGGCGGACGGGUGAGUAACACGUGGAUAACCUACCUAUAAGACUGGGAUAACUUCGUGAAACCGGAGCUAAUACCGGAUAAUAUAUUGAACCGCAUGGUUCAAUAGUGAAAGACGGUUUUGCUGUCACUUAUAGAUGGAUCCGCGCGGCAUUAGCUAGUUGGUAAGGUAACGGCUUACCAAGGCAACGAUGCGUAGCCGACCUGAGAGGGUGAUCGGCCACACUGGAACUGAGACACGGUCCAGACUCCUACGGGAGGCAGCAGUAGGGAAUCUUCCGCAAUGGGCGAAAGCCUGACGGAGCAACGCCGCGUGAGUGAUGAAGGUCUUCGGAUCGUAAAACUCUGUUAUUAGGGAAGAACAAAUGUGUAAGUAACUAUGCACUUCGUGACGGUACCUAAUCAGAAAGCCACGGCUAACUACGUG
rnacentral:rRNA from 1 species